AUUUUAUUUUUUUUUAAAAAAAGUGAUAAACAAGACAUUAAUCAUGAAAAGUAUUAAGAUUAUCCAUAUAGGUACACUAUAUUUAGCCAAAACAUAAAUUUAUGUCAGAAAUGUAAAAUGGUUGUCCCUUUCUAUUGAGCCCCCCUUGGUCCUGGACUAACCAAAGUGUCCAUUAACCCCCUUGCGUGGGAUGGUUCUCAAGCCAUUGGUUGGUACCCUGUAUGGCAGACUCAGUGGCUAUAGAAGUCAGCAUUUUUAACAAUGAUUGAUAUUUCAAGGACGAACGACGCACAUUUUUCACAAAUGAUGAUCCUAAUAUUCUCUUCACAGUCGGUGGGAAUGUUGAGUUUCAUCGAAAAAUAUUCAAUAUUUACAUCAGUGAGUUCGUUGCUAUGGUAAAUGACCAUGGAUUGUUCAUUAAUAUACUUAGAUGUGAUAAUCAGAAUCGAUAUUUAGAGCAAAAAGUGAACGUAGUUAUCCAGAUCAAAAUGAAGUGAAUCAAAUGAAAUGGAAUCGAAAUGAAGAUGAUUUCAAAAUUCUACUUGCAGAAGCUUUGAGUUAUCUCCAAAAUCUCAAGAAAGUGGCUUUGGAUUAAAUGAUUUGACAGUAAUUUUUAAUUGAAUUCUACAUAUUACAUAGAUGCAAUUUCUGUAAA
rnacentral:lncRNA from 1 species